GAUGAACGCUAGCGAUAGGCUUAACACAUGCAAGUCGAGGGGCAGCACAAGGUAGCUUGCUAUCUGGGUGGCGACCGGCGCACGGGUGCGUAACGCGUAUGCAACUUGCCCUAUACAGGAGGAUAACCCGUCGAAAGACGGACUAAUACUGCGUAUGCUCACAACUUGGCAUCAAGUGGUGAGGAAAGAAAUUCGGUAUAGGAUAGGCAUGCGUCCCAUUAGCUUGUUGGUGAGGUAACGGCUCACCAAGGCAACGAUGGGUAGGGGAACUGAGAGGUUUAUCCCCCACACUGGUACUGAGACACGGACCAGACUCCUACGGGAGGCAGCAGUGAGGAAUAUUGGUCAAUGGGCGCGAGCCUGAACCAGCCAAGUCGCGUGAAGGAUGACUGUCUUAUGGAUUGUAAACUUCUUUUAUACGGGAAUAACAAGAGUCACGUGUGACUCCCUGCAUGUACCGUUUGAAUAAGCAUCGGCUAACUCCGUG
rnacentral:rRNA from 1 species